rnacentral:rRNA from 1 species
CCUACGGGAGGCAGCAGUCGGGAAUUUUGCUCAAUGGGCGAAAGCCUGAAGCAGCAACGCCGCGUGAGGGAUGACGGCCUUCGGGUUGUAAACCUCUUUUCUCAGGGACGAUGAUGACGGUACCUGAGGAAUAAGCCACGGCUAACUACGUGCCAGCAGCCGCGGUAAUACGUAGGUGGCGAGCGUUGUCCGGAAUUACUGGGCGUAAAGCGCACGUAGGUGGUCAGUUAAGUCCGUUGUGAAAGCCCUGGGCUCAACCUGGGAACGGCAAGGGAGACUGACUGGCUAGAGUGUAACAGAGGACCGUGGAAUUCCCGGUGUAGCGGUGAAAUGCGUAGAGAUCGGGAAGAACACCGAUGGCGAAGGCAGCGGUCUGGGUUAACACUGACGCUGAGGAGCGAAAGCGUGGGGAGCGAACAGGAUUAGAUACCCUGGUAGUCCACGCCCUAAACGGUGGGCACUAGGUGUAGGGCUCGUAAGGGUUCUGUGCCGAAGGGAAACCAUUAAGUGCCCCGCCUGGGGAGUACGGCCGCAAGGUUGAAACUCAAAGGAAUUGACGG